rnacentral:pre_miRNA from 1 species
GAUGCACUCCCUCCGUUCGGAAUUACUUGCCGCAGAAAUGGAUGUAUCUAGAUGUAUUUUAGUUCUAGAUACAUCCAUUUCUGAGACAAGUAAUUCUGAACGGAGGGAGUACAUA